GAGUUGCAUCCCGGGUGACGAGUGGCGGACGGGUGAUUAAGGUACCUGAAACUGCCUGAUGGAGGGGGUCGAUUACUGGAGAUCGGUUCAUAAUGAUGCAUAACGUCGCAAGACCACAGCGGGGGACCUUCGGGCCUCUUGCACAUCAGAUGUGCCCAGUUGGGAUUAGCUAGUAGGUGGGGUAACGGCUCACCUAGGCGACGAUCCCUAGCUGGUCUGAGACUGUGACCAGCCACACUGGAACUGAGACACGGUCCAGAGGCCUACGGGAGGCAGCAGUGGGGAAUUUUGCACAAUGGGCGCAAGCCUGAUGACAGCCAUGCCGCGUGUGGGAAGAAGGCCUUCGGGUUGUACAGUACUUUCAGCGGGGAGGAAGGGAGUAAGGUUAAUAACCUUGGGCAUUGACGUUACCCGCAGAAGAAGCACCGGCUACACUCCGUGCCAGCAGCCGCGGUAAUACGGAGGGUGCAAAUGUUAAUCGGAAUUACUGGGCGUAAAGCGCACGCAGGCGGUCUGUCAAGUCGGAUGUGAAAUCCCCGGGCUCAACCUGGGAACUGCAUUCGAAACUGGCAGGCUGGAGUCUUGUAGAGGGGGGUAGAAUUCCAGUUGUAGCGGUGAAAUGCGUAGAGAUCUGGAGGAAUACCGGUGGCGAAGGCGGCCCCCUGGACAAAGACUGACGCUCAGGUGCGAAAGCGUGGGGAGCAAACAGGAUUAGAUACCCUGGUAGUCCACGCUGUAAACGAUGUCGACUUCGGGAGUUGUUCCCUUGAGGAGUGGCUUCCGGAGCUAACGCGUUAAGUCGACCGCCUGGGGAGUACGGCCAGCAAGGUUAAAACUCAAAUGAAUUGACGGGGGCCCGCACAAGCGGUGGAGCAUGUGGUUUAAUUCGAUGCAACGCGAAGAAGCUUACCUACUCUUGACAUCCAGAGAACUUAGCAGAGAUGCUUUGGUGCCUUCGGGAACUCUGAGACAGGUGCUGCAUGGCUGUCGUCAGCUCGUGUUGUGAAAUGUUGGGUUAAGUCCCGCAACGAGCGCAACCCUUAUCCUUUGUUGCCAGGAAUCCGGCCGGGAACUCAAAGGAAGAGUGGCAGUGAUAAACUGGAGGAAGGUGGAGAUCUCGUCAAGUCAUCGGGGCCGUUUCGAGUAGGGCUAUACACCUGCUACAUUGGGCUAUACAAAGAGAAGCGACGUCGCGAGAGCAAGCGGACGUUUGAAAUAUGUCGUAGUCAAAAUUGGAGUCUGCAUCUCGACUCCAUGGGGUCCGAAUCGCUACUAAUCGUUGAUCAACUUGUUAUGUGUAAUAGAUCUCUACGUGAUAUACGAAAGACUCACAACACCAUGGGACCACGUUGCGUCGGGCCCAGGUAGCCCC
rnacentral:rRNA from 1 species